GCAUAUCAAUAAGCGGAGGAAAAGAAACCAACCGGGAUUGCCUUAGUAACGGCGAGUGAAGCGGCAAAAGCUCAAAUUUGAAAUCUGGUACCUUUGGUGCCCGAGUUGUAAUUUGGAGAGGGCAACUUUGGGACCGUUCCUUGUCUAUGUUCCUUGGAACAGGACGUCAUAGAGGGUGAGAAUCCCGUGUGGCGAGGAGUGCGGUUCUAUGUAAAGUGCCUUCGAAGAGUCGAGUUGUUUGGGAAUGCAGCUCUAAGUGGGUGGUAAAUUCCAUCUAAAGCUAAAUAUUGGCGAGAGACCGAUAGCGAACAAGUACAGUGAUGGAAAGAUGAAAAGAACUUUGAAAAGAGAGUGAAAAAGUACGUGAAAUUGUUGAAAGGGAAGGGCAUUUGAUCAGACAUGGUGUUUUGCGCCCUCUGCUCCUUGUGGGUGGGGGAAUCUCGCAGUUCACUGGGCCAGCAUCAGUUUUGGUGGCAGGAUAAAUCCGUAGGAAUGUAACUUGCUUCGGGAAGUAUUAUAGCCUAUGGGAAUACUGCCAACUGGGACUGAGGACUGCGACGUAAGUCAAGGAUGCUGGCAUAAUGGUUUAUAUGCC
rnacentral:rRNA from 1 species